GCCCGGAAACAAGGAGCCGGUAUCAGGCACAACUAACCUCAGCCCAUGACACCUUGCUUAGCCACACCCUCAAGGGACUUCAGCAGUGAUAAACAUUAAGCCAUAAGUGAAAACUUGACUUAGUUAAAGCUAAAAGAGCCGGUAAAACUCGUGCCAGCCACCGCGGUUAUACGAGAGGCUCAAGUUGAUAGACAACGGCGUAAAGAGUGGUUAAGGAACCCAUUAAACUAAAGCCGAACGCCCUCAGAACUGUUAUACGUUUCCGAAGGUAAGAAGCCCCACCACGAAAGUGACUUUACUUCCCCUGACCCCACGAAAGCUGCGAAACAAACUGGGAUUAGAUACCCCAUUAUGCCCAGCCCUAAACUUUGAUAGCCUAUUACACCCACUAUCCGCCAGGGUACUACGAGCAUUAGCUUAAAACCCAAAGGACUUGGCGGUGCUUUACAUCCACCUAGAGGAGCCUGUUCUAGAACCGAUAACCCCCGUUAAACCUCACCCUCCCUUGUUUUUUCC
rnacentral:rRNA from 1 species